GAGCUACUCUCUCCGUUCCAAAUUACUUGUCGUUGAAAUGGAUGUAUCUAAAACUAAAAUACAUCUAGAUAUAUUUAUAUGUGCGACAAGUAAUUCGGAACAGAGGGAGUACCAA
rfam:Triticum aestivum genome assembly, contig: Triticum_aestivum_CS42_TGACv1_scaffold_500744_6BL